UUUGCUGUCUUACAAAUAUUGGAGUAUUUGUAAUGGGAAAGCCAUUAUCUCGGUGCGGCUCCUGAGGCAAGUUUUCACUGCCAAUACGGGGGGUGUAGGGUUGGGUAAGGGGGGCUGAUUUAAUAGCAUCCACUGUGAGUAACACUCGAUGUGGAAAUCUCAACAGAUGUCAUUCCCUCGACGGCAACCAUCACAGGCAUGCAGACCAUGCAGCAGCAAAUGUAAUACCAUGACAGCCUGUGGGAGAACGUCCACGCUUGGCUGCUGGAAAACUAAUUUGGGUCAUCUUCGAAAGUACCGUUGUUUCUAUAGCAACCCAAAGCUAAGGGGCUCCAUCAGACAGUCAUUUAGGCCCCGUCUUGAGCAGGGAUAAGCUCCGCUCCCCUGCCGUCAUCGCAUCCGGCAGGAUCUGACAGUUCAUGCAGCAUUGCAGUGCUGAACCAUAGGAUGGGGCUCAUGCCAAAUGAUAUAAG